AUACUUACCUGGCAGGGGAUAAACCAUCAUCACAAAGGUGGUUUUCUUGGGGGCAAGGCUUAUCCCUUGCACACCGGAUGUGCUAAACCCUUAAGAUUUCCCCAAAUGUGGGAAACUCAACUGUAUAAUUUGUGGUAGUGGGGACUAUGUUCAUGCUGAAUUCUGU
rnacentral:snRNA from 1 species